rnacentral:rRNA from 1 species
GACGAACGCUGGCGGCGUGCUUAACACAUGCAAGUCGAACGGAAAGGCCCUGCUUUUGUGGGGUGCUCGAGUGGCGAACGGGUGAGUAACACGUGAGUAACCUGCCCUUGACUUUGGGAUAACUUCAGGAAACUGGGGCUAAUACCGGAUAGGAGCUCCUGCUGCAUGGUGGGGGUUGGAAAGUUUCGGCGGUUGGGGAUGGACUCGCGGCUUAUCAGCUUGUUGGUGGGGUAGUGGCUUACCAAGGCUUUGACAGGUAGCCGGCCUGAGAGGGUGACCGGCCACGUUGGGACUGAGAUACGGCCCAGACUCCUACGGGAGGCAGCAGUGGGGAAUAUUGCACAAUGGGCGGAAGCCUGAUGCAGCAACGCCGCGUGCGGGAUGACGGCCUUCGGGUUGUAAACCGCUUUCGCCUGUGACGAAGCGUGAGUGACGGUAAUGGGUAAAGAAGCACCGGCUAACUACGUG